rnacentral:lncRNA from 1 species
GAGUGUUUUACAGGACCCGCUUCGACUUUCAGAAUAGCUGGUAUUACCACAGCCACCCUAAUUUUCAGCAACUGCUAUCCUGAUUAUCAACAGCCAUCAACAUUGAGACAAGACCCUUGACUGGUAAAAAGAUCCCAACUCAGUGAAGACUCAGAUGAUGGUUAUCAUUUUGGGGCAAUAAAGUAUUUUCAAAUUAAGAAAACCCAGCUUCAUGGAACCUGUGCAACCCAGUUCGAUCAAGUCACCACAUCGUCUAGAGAAGGAAUGGAAAGAGGACUGGCCAUUUUCAUGAACAGCAAGAAUGGAAGGAGAGUACUAAAGAAACUGAUCUUUAUGACUUCUCUUCCUGAGGGUCUUUGGGUACUGGAGGAAAGGAGAGGAGAAGGUGAGGAAGUAUAUUGAGGGAUAAUUCAGCUUUUCUUUCCUUUUUCUCCACAGUUCAACAAUGAGAUGAGAUUCAGUAACUUGCCUCAAGGUGAUGCUUUAAACUUCUUAUUGCCUUCUUCAUUAAGGGGGCAAACUUUAUACUGUGUAUAUGUGAAU